GGUGGUUCGUGGUAGAACCCUCACCUUCCAUGUGAGAGACCCUGGUUCAAUUCCCGGCC
rnacentral:tRNA from 1 species